AAAUCUUAAAUUUUGCAAGCUGCCGGACUCUUUUGGUGAAUUCUUUAAUUCUUUGUGAAUCAAAACGCUUUGGCAUGUCAUAAGUACUCGCAUUUCUCAGCCAUAUUUAUAAUAAUCACAGUAGCCAAAGAAAUUGAAAUUUCUCAAACAUAGCUACGAAGUCAGAAUUAGGACAAAUAAUGUUCAUUCCAAUUUUUAGACUUGUCCAGUAAACAUCUGAACCUUUUUGUGAACUUUUUGUGGGACUUCUCUCGAUUGUUAAUUUGUUUUCUUGUAACAAAGUGAAAAUUUCAUUUGAGAAUUAUUUUUAAAUAAGAUUGACGAACGAUCCAAAAUUGUGCCUAUUUCCGUGGAGAUACUAUAAGUCAAGUACAAGCUUUUUUAUUUUCAUAAUAACUGCUUUUGCAGUUGAAAUCUUUCAAGAUGUGUUAUCCAUGCUAUUCGUGCUGUGGAUCUUGCGGACCCUGCGGAUCUUGCUGUUCACCAUGUUGCGGACCUUGUGGCGGCUGUGGACCAUAUUGUGGUCCCUGUGGUGGUUGUGGCCCUUGCUAUGGGGGUUGCGGACCGUGCUGCGGGGGCUGUGGACCUUGCUGUUAGUAUCUUCAGAACGAAAUCUAGGUGUCCCACAAUUAGUAUCGCAAAAACAAAAAUAAAAUUUUAAAGUGCCAAAAUAAAUGGAAUAUAAACUCUAAUUAAAUAUUGGUUUGACUUUGAACCCCGUGAUCAUAUUUGCUAAGAACAAUAAAAUAUAACUCUAUGAAAUUGAAAUUCAUAAAACUGGGCUACGAUGCUGGAAGAUAUACAAAUAAUGUCCAUUCCAAUUUUUAGGCUUGUCCAGUAAACAUCUGAACCUUUUUGUGAACUUUUUGUGGGACUUCUCUCAAAUGUUUAUUUGUUUUUUGUAACAAAGUAACAUUCAUAAGUUAAAUUGGGAGAUAAUUUGAAGUAAAGACAAAUAGUACCUAUUUCUGUGAAGAAUCACAAGUCCACUUUAUUCAAAAUGUGUUAUCCAUGCUAUUCGUGCUGUGGAUCUUGCGGACCCUGCGGAUCUUGCUUUUCACCAUGUUGCGGGCCUUGUGGCGGCUGUGGACCAUAUUGUGGUCCCUGUGGUGGAUGUGGACCUUGCUAUGGGGGUUGCGGACCGUGCUGCGGGGGCUGUGGACCUUGCUGUUAGUAUCUUCAGAACGAAAUCUAGGUGUCCCUCAAUUAGUAUCGCAAAAACAAUAUAAAUAAAAUUUUAAAGUGUCAAAAUAAAUGGUUUGACUUUAGGCCCCGUGAUCAUAUUAGCUAAGAACAAUAAAAUAUAGCGUACGUAUGUUAGAUUUGCAUAUAGGCUGCAUAUGAGUGUAUUAUACCAGAGCAAUAAAAUAUGAGCGCGGUUUUCCCUGGUUCAUAAGAGUUUAUUUAGAAAGUACAUUUUAAAGUGUCAAAAUAAAUGGAAUAUAAACUUCAAUAUGUAAUAGUUAUUCAGAUAGGUGUUUUGCUCUAAUUAAGUGUUGGUUUAAGCUUGGACCCAGUGAUGAGUACUCUACAAUUUGGAGACUCAAUCGUUACAAAACAAAUAACAAAAUAGCUAAUAGCAAUAAAAUUUAACUUAGGUAGGUCUGCACAUAGUCUGCGUGAUUUUCCUCGGUUCUUAUCAGAUUAACUAGAGUGAUGUAGGAAAUAAUACUGAGUUUUUUAAGCAGUAAAAGAACAUUGCUUCCUGGUGUGAUGUUCAUCAAAAACGCAUUUAAAUGUUAAAAAAUAAAACUAAGCAUCUUAGUAGUCCAUGAAAUUAAAAUUCAUAAAACUUAGCUACGAUGCUGGAAGAAAUACAAAUAAUGUCCAUUCCAAUUUUAAGGCUUGUCCAGUAAACAUCUGAACCUUUUUGUGAACUUUUUGUGGGGUUUCUCUCAAAUGUUUAUUUGUUUUUUGUAACAAAAUAACAUUCAUACGUUAAAUUGGGAGAUAAUUUGAAGUAAAGACAAGCGAACGAUCCCAAAUAGUACCUAUUUCUGUGAAGAAUCAAAAGUCCACUUUAUUCAAGAUGUGUUAUCCAUGCUAUUCGUGCUGUGGAUCUUGCGGACCCUGCGGAUCUUGCUGUUCACCAUGUUACGGGCCUUGUGGCGGCUGUGGACCAUAUUGUGGUCCCUGUGGUGGAUGCUAUGGGGGUUGCGGACCGUACUGCGGGGGAUGUGGACCUUGCUGUUAAUAUCUUCAGAACGAAAUCUAGGUAUCCCACAUUUAGUAUUACAAAGAAAAAAACCCCUAUGUAAAUUAAUAAAUGUAUAAUUAAAUGGAAUAUCUUAAAACUCA